GAGCGAAAUAUCCGCUAUUUCUCUCUCCCAUUUACCCCAAAUCGACGAAAACCUUAUUUCCCACUUUUGCUCUCUAUAUUCAAUCUUAGUUUGUGGCGAUUCCUUAUCCACUAAAGAUGGAGACCUCAAUCCAUCGCGAAAAAGUGGAAGACGAAGCUUAUAUCAACGGUUGGCGACUGGAAUUGUGGUGUAAACGUGAAUUUGUUCAAAACUACGCCGAGUGUCGUAGGCUAGAAACUUUCAGUUCAAGGCUCCAUUUUCGAUCAGUUAAGUUCUAUACGAUGGAAAAAGGGAAGAACAUAGUCAAAAGAGGGGACCCUUCAAGACCAAUUCAAACCCCAUAGAUGGAUGAAGUAGAGAUGGAGGAAGAUGAUGCAGGGGACAGGGUUCGGCCAAAAAAGAGGGAAGAUAUACUGUAUUUUAGGAGAACAUCAAAGGAAUAUGUGGACAUGAUUGCAAAGCUAUAUCCCCAACAGGUUGAAGUUGUCCAUGAGCUCGGGCUUGGAGGUAUUUAAAACUACAAAAUACCAGAGAUACCUGGAGAAAUUGCCCUUUGGAUACUUUCUGUAUUCAACAUGAAGCGGUGCAGGAUACAAUUUUUAGAAAAUGAGUUUGUUCGUAUUACAGGGGAUGAUGUGCAUCUUACGUUCGGCUUUCUAAAGGGCAAUGACCUGAUGGACUGAAGAACUAAAUAGACAGAUUUCACAUUCUAGGAAGAAAUAGCGAGGCGGCUAAAUAAUGUAUUCUUGAUUUAUGAAUAAUGUAACAUAUUAAGUUGUUUUUUUGGCAUUAUUUGCA